rnacentral:rRNA from 1 species
UACGAAGGGGGCUAGCGUUGCUCGGAAUCACUGGGCGUAAAGGGUGCGUAGGCGGGUCUUUAAGUCAGGGGUGAAAUCCUGGAGCUCAACUCCAGAACUGCCUUCGAUACUGGAAAGCUCGAGUCCGGGAGAGGUGAGUGGAACUGCGAGUGUAGAGGUGAAAUUCGUAGAUAUUCGCAAGAACACCAGUGGCGAAGGCGGCUCACUGGCCCGGUACUGACCGCUGAGGUGCGAAAGCGUGGGGAGCAAACAGG